rnacentral:SRP_RNA from 1 species
UAGCCGGCGGCGGACGUGUCCAGUCGCCAAUCGGGUCAGGUCCGGAAGGAAGCAGCCCUAACGACCCCGAGCGGGUCGCCGUCCGGUCACCC